rnacentral:rRNA from 1 species
UAGAACGCUAGCGGCAGGCUUAACACAUGCAAGUCGAGGGGCAGCACGGGUAGCAAUACCUGGUGGCGACCGGCGCAAGGGUGCGUAACGCGUGAGCAACAUGCCCUAUACAGGGGGAUAAUCCAGGGAAACUUGGUCUAAUAUCCCAUAGCAUUUAGAGGAGGCAUCUUCACUAAAUUAAAGCUUCGGUGGUAUAGGAUUGGCUCGCGUGACAUUAGCUAGAUGGUGAGGUAACGGCCCACCAUGGCUAUGAUGUCUAGGGGUUCUGAGAGGAAGACCCCCCACACUGGGACUGAGACACGGCCCAGACUCCUACGGGAGGCAGCAGUGAGGAAUAUUGGACAAUGGAUGGAAAUCUGAUCCAGCCAUGCCGCGUGCAGGAAGACGGCCCUAUGGGUUGUAAACUGCUUUUAUAUGGGAGCAAUAAGGUUUACGAGUAGACCGAUGAGAGUACCAUAUGAAUAAGCAUCGGCUAACUCCGUG